GACGAACGCUGGCGGUAUGCCUAAUACAUGCAAGUCGAACGCUGAAGCACUCUGCUUGCAGAGUGUGGAUGAGUGGCGAACGGGUGAGUAACACGUGGGGAACCUGCCCAUAAGCGGGGGAUAACAUCCGGAAACGGGUGCUAAUACCGCAUAGGUGAUCAUAGCGCAUGCUUAGAUCAUUAAAGAUGGCUUCGGCUAGCGCUUCUGGAUGGCCCCGCGGCGUAUUAGCUAGUUGGUGAGGUAAUGGCUCACCCAGGCUGUGAUACGUAGCCGACCUGAGAGGGUGAUCGGCCACACUGGAACUGAGACACGGUCCAGACUCCUACGGGAGGCAGCAGUAGGGAAUCUUCCACAAUGGGCGAAAGCCUGAUGGAGCAAUCCCGCGUGAGUGAAGAAGGUCUUCGGAUCGUAAAGCUCUGUUGUUAGAGAAGAACAAGAGGUGUAGUAACUGGCACCUCCUUGACGGUAUCUAACCAGAAAGUCACGGCUAACUACGUGCCAGCAGCCGCCGUAA
rnacentral:rRNA from 1 species